ACACUCUGUACUCGUUUAGACUGCACGCGCACGUGAUGUUCACCAAAAUGUAAUAAUUGCGGCGUCACCGUCUGAAAUGUUCAAUCAUCAAAUGUUUUCAUCAUUUUGGACUUUAUUAAGCGUUGUACAGUGGACUUCCAGAGUGUUCCGUCUCGCAGAUUACUGUCUGCUCCCUAGUACGUCCACGCCUGGAUUAUUUUGCCUCUGUGUGGUCACCUUCGUAUAACGUCCACGUACAUAGAAAGAAUGCAGGACAGAUUCGUCGCAUGCAUAGGUAUCCCACCAUUGUUUAUAAUCUACUGCACUCAAAUUCUCAUGGAUCUGAGCUGUUAUGUAAGAUUGGGCUUCGCGUUCCCUCCCGCCAGACCAGAAUAAACCAGUUCUUCCAGGUAGACUUCCAUCGUACUAACUAUGGGGAGAAUUCUUUUCUUACUAGCAAAUCGCUUUUCGGACCAACUUGACUGCUUUCAGAGUGCAAGAAUAUAUAAGAAAGAGCUUAAAGACUGUCAGUAAAACUGUUCCGUUUUCUGACUUCUGAAUAGUACUGUAUUAUAACACUAUGUUGGUACAUUCAUGUGAAUCUUAUUUUAUAUUGGUCGGUUGGCCCUUUGAUAAACAAAUAAAUAAAUAAAAAUAUUUAAUUUUUUAUUACUAAAUUUAUAAUUAAUAUUAUGGUUAAAUAUUUAUAAAUAGUAGUUACAAUAGUAGCUGUAUUUCUGUUACUGCAAAUCUCAGAUGAAACCAUAAAUAAACUUGGAAUUAAAACAAUUUAACAAUAUGUUGCAACAUAUUUCGUAAGCGCUGAAAGGCCGCAAGUAAUCUGUUUGCCAGUUUGUGUUCGAGAUUAAUUUCGAUUAGAUAUGCAUCAAUUUUAAGAAUUUUACCGAAUAAAAUCGGCAAUAUUUACUCUAGAUAUACUUUUCAAGAGACGUCUAUUAUCUUCAGUCGUAAAAAAGCAUGUUUUGCCACUUCAACAUCUUUUAAGCAAAAUCGUCUUCAGGGUUGAAUCUUUAAGGGGUAACUUGAGAACAGUUAGGAACUUAUAUCAAGCAGGCUUAAAAUUAGUAGCAUUAAUACAGCUAUAGGAAUAUUCAUAUUUGUUUUUUUUUUAAUUUACUGAUACGGCAAUAAAUUUUAGGAAUUGAUUUACUUAGUGGACAAAAAAUUUGACAAUGUUAUUUUGUCAUUGCCAACUAAUGUUAUAGCAAUAGUCUUAGCAAUGUAUUAAAAAUGUAUGUCUGACAUAGUUAAUAUCAACUAUGAGUGAUCUGCCUUUCAAAAAAUGGCGCUAUCGUCACUUUUUUAUGUAUGGAAAAUAAUUUUUAAA